rnacentral:rRNA from 1 species
GCAGCACGGGAGCAAUCCUGGUGGCGAGUGGCGAACGGGUGAGUAAUAUAUCGGAACGUGCCCAGUCGUGGGGGAUAACGUAGCGAAAGCUACGCUAAUACCGCAUACGAUCUACGGAUGAAAGCGGGGGACUCGCANGAGCCUCGCGCGAUUGGAGCGGCCGAUAUCAGAUUAGGUUGUUGGUGAGGUAAAAGCUCACCAAGCCUGCGAUCUGUAGCUGGUCUGAGAGGACGACCAGCCACACUGGAACUGAGACACGGUCCAGACUCCUACGGGAGGCAGCAGUGGGGAAUUUUGGACAAUGGACGCAAGUCUGAUCCAGCAAUGCCGCGUGCAGGACGAANGCCUUCGGGUUGUAAACUGCUUUUGUACGGAACGAAACGGUCUUCUUUAAUACAGAGGGCUAAUGACGGUACCGUAAGAAUAAGCACCGGCUAACUACGUGCCAGCAGCCGCGGUAAUACGUAGGGUGCGAGCGUUAAUCGGAAUUACUGGGCGUAAAGCGUGCGCAGGCGGUUAUAUAAGUCANAUGUGAAAUCCCCGGGCUCAACCUGGGACCUGCAUUUGANACUGUAUAGCUAGAGUACGGUAGAGGGGGAUGGAAUUCCGCGUGUANCAGUGAAAUGCGUAGAUAUGCGGANGAACACCGAUGGCGAANGCAAUCCCCUGNACCUGUACUGACGCUCAUGCACGAAAGCGUGGGGAGCAAACANGANUANAUACCCUGNUANUCCACGCCCUAAACGAUGUCAACUGNNUGUUGGGUCUUCACUGACUCANUAACGAAGCUAACGCGUGAAGUUGACCGCCUGGGGAGUAC